UAUUUCCCCUUCACUGAGUUCCUGGGAAGAGCGCGAUGAAAACUGACUCCCUCAUUGGCCUGACAGCAUUUGCUGAAUAAUUUCUGGAACACCUACGAAUCAUCAGGAGCCUAAACUGGUCACCACCCCUGCUGAGAGGGAAGGCAGCAAGCCCCCACUGUGGUAAGUUCUCUCCUUCUUGUCUUUUAAUGCCACUUCCGAAGCCCUCCUUGAUAUCACCCCAGCACCCCUUGAAAAACAUCCCUGGAGACUGAAGAGGAGGAUGACUUGCCCAGGGGACACCAAGGGGCUCCGUCCUGCCUGCCUGCCCUCAGACAGCAUUCCAGGUUCCGUGAGGACUGAGAUGUUGCACACAGUGUACUCAACCCUGACCCUGGCAUGUAGCAGAUACUCACACAAUGGAAAGCUAUUGCGUCUGCCUCUUCGCCCCACGUAAAGUGGGAAAGCCCCUCACUCUGGUUCCCGAAUUCAGUUCAAUGACCACACCGCGUCGUGGACCCUGCCUUCCCACUCAGACCUUGUGCUCUCCCUGUGAGCUUCCGGCAGCAAACGACAUCGAGUGCCUUCUACAUGUUGAGCCCUGCCCUGCCCUGGUAACAGCAGAAAUGACAAAGGCCCACUCAGAGGGAAAUAGGACAACCAUGUCCUCGGAGUGACACUCGACAAGCUGUACUGGGACCAAGCCCUGGCCCACUAUUGGUGCCUCUAGGGCACCAUCCACAUAGGAAGGGUUCAAUAAAUGCUGUUUCUCAAUCUCAGCUAAUUGCAUCCCUCAGUUCUAGGAUUACCAUCUGCUUCCUUUUCUGGGGGGAGGUAUGGUUUCUGCCAAAAGUUUCAGUCUUGUCUUUUAAAUCCUUGGACAUAGUAUUCAUGGUUCUUGUAAAGCCUAUGCCUGCUCAAGGCGUUAUCUGAAUCCCUGCUGCGUGUCCUUCUGGAAUCUGCUUCUGUCUGGUGCACAGGCUGUCUUGCGUAUGCCUGGCUGCUUUCUAUUGACUGCUGGGCACGGUAGUAUAACAAACACUGUAGAGGUCAUUUGAGGCUCUGGACAUAUUGUCUUUAUCUAGAGAUGAUUCCCUUUUGCUUCCCCUGGGCAGUGAGGCUGGGGGUGCUUCC